rnacentral:rRNA from 1 species
AUUGAACGCUGGCGGCAGGCCUAACACAUGCAAGUCGAACGGUAACAGGAAGAAGCUUGCUUCUUUGCUGUCGAGUGGCGGGCGGGUGAGUAAUGUCUGUGAAACUGCCUGAUGGAGGGGGAUAACUACUGGAAACGGUAGCUAAUACCGCAUAACGUCGCAAGCCCAAAGAGGGGGACCUUCGGGCCUCUUGCCAUCGGAUGUGCCCAGAUGGGAUUAGCUAGUAGGUGGGGUAACGGCUCACCUAGGCGACGAUCCCUAGCUGGUCUGAGAGGAUGACCAGCCACACUGGAACUGAGACACGGUCCAGACUCCUACGGGAGGCAGCAGUGGGGAAUAUUGCACAAUGGGCGCAAGCCUGAUGCAGCCAUGCCGCGUGUAUGAAGAAGGCCUUCGGGUUGUAAAGUACUUUCAGCGGGGAGGAAGGGAGUAAAGUUAAUACCUUUGCUCAUUGACGUUACCCGCAGAAGAAGCACCGGCUAACUCCGUG